UGUCGAUAGCGUAAAAGUUAAGUUAAAUUUGUAUGGAGUUGGAACGUGUGCUUAUGUUUGCCGCUAGGGGCACUGUUCCAGCUACAUACGAAUUUCAGGUAACUUUUACGCUAUCGA
rnacentral:pre_miRNA from 9 species